UGAGGAAUAUUGGUCAAUGGGUGCAAGCCUGAACCAGCCAUGCCGCGUGCAGGAUUAAGGCCCUAUGGGUCGUAAACUGCUUUUGUACGAGAAUAAAUGUUGGUACGUGUACCAAUUUGCAGGUAUUGUACGAAUAAGCAUCGGCUAACUCCGUGCCAGCAGCCGCGGUAAUACGGAGGAUGCGAGCGUUAUCCGGAUUUAUUAGGUUUAAAGGGUACGUAGGCUGCCCGUUAAGUCAGGGGUGAAAUCUUUGGGCUCAACCCAGAGGCUGCCCUUGAAACUGAUGGGCUAGAGUAGUGACGGGGCAAGCGGAAUGUGCGGAGUAGCGGUGAAAUGCAUAGAUACCGCACAGAACACCGAUAGCGAAGGCAGCUUGCCAGGGACCCACUGACGCUAAUGUACGAAAGCGUGGGUAGCGAACA
rnacentral:rRNA from 1 species